rnacentral:rRNA from 1 species
AACGCUUCGGAAUCUACCCAUGGGUGGGGAAUAACCAGCCGAAAGGCUGGCUAAUACCGCAUACGUCCUACGGGGGAAAGCAGGGGAUCGCAAGACCUUGCGCCGAUGGAUGAGCCGAAGCCGGAUUAGCUAGUUGGUAGGGUAACGGCCUACCAAGGCGACGAUCCGUAGCUGGUCUGAGAGGACGACCAGCCACACUGGGACUGAGACACGGCCCAGACUCCUACGGGAGGCAGCAGUGGGGAAUAUUGGACAAUGGGGGAAACCCUGAUCCAGCGACGCCGCGUGUGUGAAGAAGGCCUGCGGGUUGUAAAGCACUUUUAGUGGGGAUGAAAAGUUCAGGGCUAAUACCCCUGGAUCUUGACCUAACCCACAGAAAAAGCACCGGCUAACUCUGUGCCAGCAGCCGCGGUAAUACAGAGGGUGCAAGCGUUAAUCGGAAUUACUGGGCGUAAAGCGUGCGUAGACGGUUACAUAAGUCGGGUGUGAAAGCCCCGGGCUCAACCUGGGAAUUGCAUUCGAGACUGCGUAGCUAGGGUGCGGAAGAGGGAAGCGGAAUUUCCGGUGUAGCGGUGAAAUGCGUAGAUAUCGGAAGG